rnacentral:ncRNA from 1 species
CUGGCGGAUUCCGAAAAGCCAAUAUUAAACAGAGUAGGAA